ensembl:lncRNA
UAUUCUAAUUUUCUGAGAUACUGAAUUUGGGAUUUUCAUUAGUUGUCAGUUAUAAUCAUCAAAAUUAAAAGAAAUAAACAUUUGAAAUAUAGCAGUCUGUGUGUAAUGAAUGAAUAUAAUAUACAAGUUUCACUUUUUGAAUGGAAUUAGUGGAAUCAACUUUUUGAUGAUAUUCUAAUUAUAUGACCAGCACCUGUACACAUGGGCAACAUAAGGUCCUGGGCCAGAUGCAGCCCUUGGAGUGUUUCAAUUACAUUUAUGUAAUAGGCCCAUGAUGAGGCUGUAGCCUACCAAAAAUCAGUGAAAUACUGAGAAAUGUUGGGGCUACUAUAACAUGAAACAUCACUGGCAUGGCAUUCAACUCAACACAACUAGGCUAUGUAUAAAUUGUACAAUAUGUGGCCCCUAACUUGCCUCAUCAUAGUACAUGUGGCUAAAACUGUUGCCCAUAUGCUCUAGCUGCCCAUUUUAGGCUGGUGUGACAUCACUAACUCACAGACAAGCACUUGAGAAAGAGCGAUGUAGGGAAUUUAGACUACAUAUUUUGAUGUUUCUCAACAAAAAACAUUAACAAAUCGGCAAAAAAGUUGCAAGUCUAUAAAAUGUGAAUUCUAGUCGACUGAUUCGCUUUGUCGUUUUGUAUGCUACGUGUACUAGUUGAUUGGAUUAAAUUUGUGCCAUUAGCCUAAGUAAGGUUACCUAUUUUGGGACUUAAUUUCUUUAUCCAUGCAGUCUUAGAAACACUGAAGUCCCAAGGACUUCAUCGUGAAGAUGUCCUUGGGACAGUAGGGCCUUUUAAAAUCUUUCUGGGCAGUUUGGAGGCCCUUGUAGGCCCAUCUGAACUACCAGAUGAGGUAAUGGAUGCCCUAUUUUACAUAAUCAGCAGGAGCCAGCCUGGGACAGAGCCCAUAAAUAGCCAGGCUAUGCGCCUGAUUUUGGAAGGCAGCUCCAGGGCCAGGAGCACUUAUUUUCUAAAAAAAAACAUUCUUAAAGGAGCCAGUGCCAUCUUCGGGCCCUACUUGGUGGGAGAGUGCCACUGGACCCUCUUUGUAGGUUGCUUUUAGGUUAGGCUGCCACACAACUGACACGCAACAGACACGCGACUGUUGUGAGUGCGUUCACAACACUGCAGUGACGCCGCUGACGUA